AAUGAAGACUGGGGAGUAGGGCCAG
rnacentral:piRNA from 1 species